GGGGUAAACCUGCGAAACUCGAAUGAACGAACGGAGAGAUUCAUCGUCACUUCGCGGCGUGCGGACGUGCGCACGAUGCCCGAGGCCCAGGUCGGCGGGCACGUCGCGCGUACGUCACGUCCGUGGACGGCGUGCACUUCUCUCUUAGUAUCCACAUGCAUCGCGACCCGUUCGAUGUCGGUCUAAGCGCCGUUCGGGAGCCCCAUUGUCACCGGCAACGGUGGCGGUGGGACCGUGACGGACGCCGACCGGCCGUCGGACGGUAGUUACAAUGAAACGCGCACGCGUUCACGCGCGUCCGGCCCGACGCAAGUCAACGUCGUAUCCGACGCUCCGCCCGAGUGCGGACGUUGGUGCGGCGCGUCUGUCGUCGCAGCCGUGUGUCUCGGACUGUGCGCGUCUCUGUCUGCGAUGAUUCAGUUUCGGGCACUCGCAGGACCCGUCUUGAAACACGGACCAAGGAGUCUAGCAUGUAUGCGAGUCAUUGAGUAUUUUUUGACAAAACUGAAAGGCGUAACGAAAGUGAAGGCGUGCGCUCGUCGCGCGCUCAGGGAGGAUGGAGCGUCGAUCUCGGUCGAUCUCUCGCACUCCCGAGGCGUCUCGUUUCCAAUCCGUGAAUGCAGGCGCGCUC
rnacentral:rRNA from 1 species